rnacentral:lncRNA from 1 species
AACCAAAAAUAAAUUAAUAAAUCAUCUCUCUCUCUCGCUCUCUUUUUAUUUAAGAUUAGUAUUUCAAUGAUCAGGCAAAUCACUUGUGGAGGAUGAGGUUUCCCACGAGAAGGAUGAAUGACUCACAUCCAAGUCCCCUUCCACGACCCCAAAGUUCUGACAGCUCCAGUUUCAAGGUGCAUGCUGAACCAGGUUCUCUGAUAAGUACCAGAACUUCCUUACACACA